rnacentral:rRNA from 1 species
UACGUAGGGCGCCAAGCGUUGUCCGGAAUUAUUGGGCGUAAAGAGCUCGUAGGUGGCUUGUCGCGUCUGCCGUGAAAGCCCAUGGCUUAACUGUGGGUCUGCGGUGGAUACGGGCUGGCUAGAGGUAGGUAGGGGCAAGCGGAAUUCCUGGUGUAGCGGUGGAAUGCGCAGGAUAUCAGGAAGAACGACCCGUGGCGAAAGCGGCUCUCUGGAAGCGG